GUAAGAUUUCCGCUUAUGAUUUUCUUUUGGGGUCCUUUCUGCACUCACCCUUCCAGACUUAGCAACUUUCAACCAAGCUCUCUGUUAGACUUACAAAGACAUGAUAGACACCACUAGACAGCCACAGCCUAACCCUUUAAACAUGUUCUUCGGAGGUUGUCUGAGGAUGGUAGAGUAGAGCAUACAAGUACCUGCACCGCCGUUCCCAUUGCUUCCAGUUAAAAACCAUGCAGAGAAUUUCAUUCCAUAAUUGCUAUGUGACCUGAAAUUCACAUACCCCCAGUGUAUGAAACAACUUUAAUUAAAAUGUAAAUGAUGAGAUUAGAUUGAAAAACAAAAAUAAGGUGAUGGUGUACACCUUGAAUCCCAGCACUCGGGAGGCAAAGGCAGGCAGAGCUCUUGAGUUCAAGGCCAGUCUGGUCUACAGAGCUAGUAGUUCCAGGAGACCCAGGGCUGCAAAGAGAAAUUCUGUCUUGGAACACCAAAAAGCAAACCAAACCAAAACAAAAAAACAAGAUAAGAUAAAAACCAAGCCUGGUUGCACAUGGGGAUAGUCCUAGCACUUGGGAGGCUGCUGUAAGACUCAAAUUCGUGGCCGCCCUGGGCUUCCUAGCUAGACUUUGUCAAAGAGAAGAAGGAACUAAGAGGUCCGGCUCUGAGGAUUAUGAGAUGGGAGCGUGCAUUAUGAAAGAGUAGCACAUAUGUCCAGGAUUAGGGCUGGAAGGCAUAGCUCCCUCCGUAGUAGAACACUUGCCUGACAUGCAUGAGAGUCUUUGUACCGUUUUGUGCAUGCUGGAAGGCAGAGGCGGGCAGAUCUCUAAGUCUCAUCAUUGCAGAUGGAGGCCAGCCAGGGCUAUAUUGUGAGACCUGAUCUUAAAAAAGAAUAAUAAGCUACAGAUUUAGGGCUUCUAAGUCGGUGUUUAUUGACUCUGAUAACUGCAUUCUUCAUGUGUUGGUUAAGACACACUCUUCCAGUAUCCUCCCACCUUGAGCCCUCAGCAGACUUCUUUUUCUUUUUUUUUUUUUAAGAUUAAUUUAUUAUUAUAUCUAAGUACACUGUAGCUGUCUUCAGACACACCAGAAGAGGGUGUGUCUCAUCUCAUUACGGAUGGUUGUGAGCCACCAUGUGGUUGCUGGAAUUUGAACUCAGGACCUUCAGAAGAGCAGUCGGUGCUCUUAACCACUGAGCCAUCUCUCCAGCCCCUCAGCAGACUUCUUAUUCGUCUCGCUGACUCUUUGCCAAUACUUGGCGUAUGCCAGCUUGUAGUCCUAGCCCUGGAAUGCUGAGGGGGGAUUGUGAGUUCAAGCUUGGACUGUAGAGUAAGACUCUUUAUCAAACAAAAAGGAGUUGCUUUAAAGUUCUGUUUUCAGUCAGUUUUCUGGGCUUGGGUUGUGUAUGGAAAUCUGGGGUUAGGAUGCCCCACAGUGAGCACAUGACAAGGCAGGGUUAGUGAGGCUGGGCGCUGGCCCGGGUUUCUCUCCCCGCUGCUCAGCCUCCCUCUGGGAUCAUCUGUGCUCAGCUUGUUUAUUUCUCUAUAGCUUGGUGUGGGUCUCUUCCUCUGGAGAGCCAGGUUUAUGACAGAAAGGAAAAGGCAUUACCAGGCAAUAGGACUCUGUGGUGUACUGUCAGGAACAGUGAAUGGUAACUUCUGAAGAGCAUGUCGUCCCUAACACUGUCUCUACCAUGCACUGGCUAAUUAGUCUAAUUGAGGCUAAUAAACAUUGUCAUCUCUAGUUUAUAGAAUAGGAUCCUCGUAGGAGGGAGCAUUUGACUUAAGUUACUUGAGUAAGUUCAAAUAGCUAGUAAGUAGUAAGACCAGAAUUGGGAUCUGUAGUGUGGACAUAUUUUCAAAUUUUAUACUUUAUAAUUUCAUUAAUUUUUAGAUAUUAAGAUUCAUUUUAUUUUUAAAAUCAUUAUAUGUAUGUGGGUAUGUGCAUGUGAGUGCCAUGCCCACAGAGGCCAGAAAAAGGUGUUGGAUCUGUUGAAGUUAGAGUUGCAAGCCAUUGUGCGUGGUCUAGCACGGGUGCUGGCAUCUGCACCCCUUUAGCCUGUCAGCUGUCAAUUUUCAGGCUACUGCAGUGCCAGAUACUGCUAGUUCUCCAAAGACAUCCUAUUUGACACACAAGGACUAAGUUUCAAAUAGUUUGAAAUCAUCAUGAUAAGCCUGGCAUUUGAAUUUAGAUCUUUCUAACUUUAAAAUAUAAAUUACAUCUGUAACCCCAGCACUUAAAAGACUGAGCCAAGAGGCUGGAGAGAUAGCUCAGAGGUUAUGAGCACUGGCUGCUCUUCCAACAACCUUUAAAAAAAAAAAAGAAAAAAAGAAAAGAGGAUGAGGCAAGAUCACAAAUUGUAAGCUGGUCUGGAUUAUAAAGCAAGUUCCAGAUUAGCCUGAACUACAGAGUAAAAUACUGUCUC
rnacentral:lncRNA from 1 species